AUUUGCUGGGCGCUGAUCUCCUUGCAGCCCACAGAGGCGGCGGCUGCUGCUUUCAUUUCUAAGCUGCCAUAACCAGAAACGCCUGCUGCCGCCGCCCACAGGCUCUGCUCCAGCCAGAAGAGCUGGGUCUCACUCAGUGGUGUCUCCCUGCCAGCAUCUAGGACACAGUGGGAUCACAUGUUUACAGUGACCUGUCAGCCAGAACGGAAGGACUGGGGACCAGGAAAGUCUUGGUUCUGCUCCUUACUCAGACCCCGAUUCCAUAACUCACACAAGGUGCUUCUCCAUUAAAUGAAGCACGCUGUCCCUUGGGGCCGGCCACGCUCUCGGAGGGAUCAGGGCAUGGUGAAAGCAGAACGUGGGCAAUAAAUUACUUUAUGGAAGUCUUUGGCACACAUUAUUUGAACUUUUUGGCAAUGGAUUCACCUUCUCAAGGAUGUUUUGAUAAAGCUCGUAUCAGAAGUAUCAGGUGUAAAGCACACACUGGCUGACCAGGAGAAGCUGAGAUGGGCCCAAAAUCAUUGGAAAUGAGAGAGAAAUCAGCAUGAAAAUGAUCGAGCUGCCUGCUGUAAAAUUAGGGACGCAAUAUCAGAGUACUUUUCCUUGAGGAGAAGUGGCAAAAACUCUACAACUGGACAGUCCUGUAAACCAGGAUGAGCUACAGCUGAAGCUAGGUUAUAUAACCCGUGAGACGGAGAAGUGUUGAACUAAGGAAUUAAAGAGAAAUAGAGCAUCUCUUUAUCUGGAACUAAUGCUUUAAAAAGAAGUGUCUACCUCACUGAGCAUCACUGAUUAGACCUUCAAAGUCUUCCAAAGGGCCAUCUGUUCACGGUGCAGCAUGGUUCAGAGCCUCUGAGUUCUGCUGUUAGGGAACCGUGGUCUGAGCCCCACAACUGGGAAGCAGAGACACACGUAGGUCAGACUCCCCAGCCACGAGCACAGUUGUCAAACAUGUAACUGAAGGGGCAAGUGUACUUUUGGAGGACAGAGAAAGCCUUGCAAGGCCAUGUUUUUAGAAAGGGUGGGGCACUCACCACUGGACUUCACCAAACAGACAGGGCUUUGUGUAGGAGGGUGGGGCUGUUAGAAACUGAAUGACGGCAGGGAGCAGCUUAACCGGCUGGUGGGGCGGGUGAUGCCAAAUGCCCAGCCUGGCCGGGGAGCCAGAGUGAGAAUAAUGAUCUUUGCAGACAGGCAGAGUGGGGGAGGCCACUUGCGAGAAGCUCAGGAAAACAGAGGUCGGGGGCGUGCUUCUGACCCCUCAGCUCAGCUAUGGAGAAACGCAAGGUCAAGGUCAGCCCUACCUCACCGGGCACUGGCCACAGUGACCCACUUGUGUGCUGGAGCAACUCCCUGCUCAUUUAUAAGGUGCACGUGACACUACACUGUUGUCUACAGAAAGUUGUUUCAUGGCCCCAAAGGAGGUCCUGCAGAUGAAAGGGCUCUUAUUCCCAGGGAGUAGAGUUAGGAUGCUCAGGGCUCCAACACUGAGGCGCAGACAAACGAGAGGGCGGAGCCCCGCCUCAGCCCCGCCUCAGCCCCGCCUCAGCCCAGUACUCUUCAAAAUGCAACUGUCACCUCCCAGCCAGUGUGCGUGGUCUGCUGGACUUGCAGAUGGGAUGCAGAGACACACCAGGUGGUCCUGCUUUCUCAGUGGCCGUUUCCAGGCUCCAGGAAUGUGCUGGUGGCUUGCUUGAGUCUUAUCCAAAUGCCACCUCGGCCUCUCUGGAUAAAUACAGGAUGGGUGGCGACUGCAGUCUGCCUACCACUCCACCCCACCUCAAGACUUAUUUUCCAUCUUUUCAGCUUCUCAGUGGAAUUUUCCCUUUCUUCUUAGCCUUUAAAAUUGUUUUAAAAAUUGACUUCAUCUAUGAAUGCUCAUAUCCUUAUUUUUGUAUAUCGCUUUCAUGUAUAUAAUUUAAAUUUUGUGUUCAUUAGUACGGGUGGCAGAAGAGUAAGGGAAAGGGAUAUGGGCGAGGGCCUUCUGUUAGGCGUAUGGAUAAAAGAUAAGAGCGGGCACUUCUGACAGUAAGAAAUGUAUAAGAAGAAGGCUGGGUCUGGGAUAAAAAGCCAUAUCCUCUCCUUUGGGUUUACACCUACUCUUACAGAUAAGGAAAUUGAAAUUUAUGGGGACCUGACAACUAGGACAUGGCAGAGUGACGAUAAUAACAGUGACGCUAAGUGUUGGUGAUGUGAUAGCGUCAAGACCGGGCCUGGGACCUGACGCCAGGCGACUGACAUCCAACAGAAACGUGAUGCGAGCCACAUACAUGUGCAAUUAAAAAACGUUAGUAGCUAUGUCAUUACAACUAAAAAUAGGUGAAAUUAAAUUGAACAUAUUUAUUUCACGCAGUAUACCCCAAGUAGUAUUAUCAUUUCAACAUGUAAUGAAUAUAAAAUUAUCAGUGGGACUUUUUGUUUCUUCUUUGCACUAGAUAUUUGAAACCUGGCGUGUAUUUUACCUCACGUCUCAGUUUGGAGUAGCCACAUUCCACGUGCUCAAAAGCUGCAAGUGGCUGGUGGCUCCGUAUUGGACAGCGCGGCUGUAGGAGGCUCAUAACUAUUUUGUGCCAUGAACCCCUCUUGCAUCCGGCAAAGCCACGUUCUCCUUCUCAGAAUGUAUUUACAUGAGUAAGACAAAAUACAUGGGAUUACAAAGGAAAUCAGUUAUUUUGAAAUAUAGUUAUCAAAUUAUUUUAAAAACCACAAAUGUUGUAUUGUCUGCAUGCAUUUCUUUGUAUCACAUUAAGUAACAAUCCAGA